rnacentral:rRNA from 1 species
AGGACGAACGCUGGCGGCGUGCUUAACACAUGCAAGUCAAGGGGGCCCAGCAAUGGGCAACCGGCGAACGGGUGCGUAACACGUGAGCAGCCUACCGAACUGUGGGGGAUAGCCGGCCUAACGGCCGAGUAAUACCGCAUACGCUCUCAGGGAGGCAUUUCUUUGAGAGGAAACCUACGGGACAGAUCGAGGGGCUCGCGGCCUAUCAGCUAGUUGGCGAGGUAACGGCUCACCAAGGCAACGACGGGUAGCU